UGCAAGUCGAACGCUGAAGCCCAGCUUUUGUUGGGUGGAUGAGUGGCGAACGGGUGAGUAACACGUGAGUAACCUGCCCUCUUCUUUGGGAUAACGCCCGGAAACGGGUGCUAAUACUGGAUAUUCACUGGCCUUCGCAUGGGGGUUGGUGGAAAGGUUUUUUCUGGUGGGGGAUGGGCUCGCGGCCUAUCAGCUUGUUGGUGGGGUGAUGGCCUACCAAGGCUUUGACGGGUAGCCGGCCUGAGAGGGUGACCGGUCACAUUGGGACUGAGAUACGGCCCAGACUCC
rnacentral:rRNA from 1 species